CUACGGGCGGCACCAGUGAGGAAUAUUGCACAAUGGGGGAAACCCUGAUGCAGCAACGCCGCGUGGAGGAUGACGCAUUUCGGUGUGUAAACUCCUUUUAUGAGUCAAGAAAAUGACGGUAGCUCAUGAAUAAGCACCGGCUAACUCCGUGCCAGCAGCCGCGGUAAUACGGAGGGUGCAAGCGUUACUCGGAAUCACUGGGCGUAAAGGACGCGUAGGCGGGAUGUCAAGUCAGGUGUGAAAUCCUAUGGCUCAACCAUAGAACUGCACUUGAAACUGGCAACCUAGAGUAUGGGAGGGGGGGGUGGAAUUAGGGGUGUAGGGGUAAAAUCCGUAGAUAUCAACAGGAAUACCGAAAGCGAAGGCGAUCUCCUGGAACAUUACUGACGCUAAGGCGUGAAAGCGUGGGGAGCAAACAGGAUUAGAUACCCCGGUAGUC
rnacentral:rRNA from 1 species